CACACACUCUCUCUCUCUCUCUCUCCAUCUCUCUCUUUCUCUCUUUCUCUUUCUUUUUCCCUUCUCGGGUUUCUUGCCGCUCACACAUCGCCGUGAGUUCAUUCACCGUGUCAAGCAAGCAACAACUGGCUCCGGGAGCGACAGCGCUGGAGGUAGAGGGAAAAAGAGAGAGAGGGAGAGAAAGAAAGAGAGAGAGAGAGCGUCGGGAGGGUUUUCUUCCUUCUGUUGAGCAUCUCCAGUGAGAGAGAGGAAGGAUGCUGCUGGUGCUGAUGCUGCUGCUCUGGCUCCAGCCGUGCGGUUGAGCCCCGGUCCUCCACCUCCUCCACCUCCUCCUGCACCGCCUCCCCUGCUGCCUGGCUGGGACCGCCUGCCUCCUCUGCUUCUGCCUCUCCCUCUACCGACGCACAACCCACGGCAACGAUGACAACGCUCGGCGGACUGGCACACUAACCCACAGAUGCGCUGCCUGCGGAAAAAAAAAAAAAAAGGAGGGAGCGCAGCGGAGGGACGAGCGAAAGGCAGCGUGCAGAUGAAGACAGCAAGAGAGAGAGGGAGAGAGGGAGUGAGAGAGAGAGAGAGGAGGGAGAGGGGGAAAGAGAGAGAGAGAGAGAGAGAAGGGAGAGAAGAGAAGAGAGGGAGGCAUAUCACAGUCAGGCAUCAGACGACACCCAGGGCUUUGAGCGCGGCGGGAAGCAGCCAGUGGAAGCAGCAGCAGCAGCAGCGCAGAGGGAGCUCAUUACUCCGGGAUAACACCUGCCUGAGAAGGGAAUCCCAUUACGGAUGGAGGCUACUGGAAGCAGGCCUUCACAGCCACAGUGGCCCAGAAAAGCCACUGAUGGGGCCUUGCCUUGCAACGCUGUAAAGCGUCUUCAAUCAAUUGAUUUGAAAAGCCCCUCGCUGUUGCCAGGCGGCUGAGGAGCGAUUGUUGGUUACGGUCGCGUUCAUGUUGCUAUCUCCCCUUCCCCACGACAAACAAAAAACAAACAAACAAAAUGAAACGAAACAAAAAAAGGCAAAAUAAAAAACACGAAAAAAAGUGCAAAAGGCUCUCUUCGGUGACGGGUAUUCUUGGGUGGAUAAUACGGAUCACGUUGUUAUUGCUUAAGAAUACGCGUAGUCGAGGAGAGUCAUGUCUACGGCGACUUCACAAGGGACUUGAGUGAGCUGGAGCCUCAAAGCUGCCAUCUGCCUAUGUGAGCUUUUUAAUGCUGUGGGCAGUCGCACUGAGUCGGUCAGACUGACACCCUCGUCCUCAUUUCUUUUAUAUUCAUUUAUUUAAUUAUCUCUCCAGUUUAUCUAUUUUUGUAAACCUACCAGGCCACCACACAGAGCCUUAUGUGCCAUGUUUGUAUGUAAAUCCUGUGUUGUGUAUAGUUGUAAUUCUAUGGCUGUUGAUAGUGAUAGCACAGCUGGUGAUAGCGUUUAGCAUGUUUAGCAAAUGGGAUUAGUAAUUAGGAUGUAGUAGCUUAACAUUUUUGUAAUUCCAUGCCUUUCCUGUUGCUUCGAUUGUGUUCUACUGUCAUUUUCUAUUCUUUUUAGAGCUAGCUUGUUCAUAUUUUGUCUAAAGGAUAUGUAUAUGUAUUCAUAUUGAUUUUGCUAUGUAUAGUGUUCUUUUUUUUCUUUUCUUAGUCCGUACAUCUAUUUGUACCUGUGAAUUCACGCAUGUGCUUUAUAUCACUGAGUGAACUGUGCCUUGACUUAGUAGUGGCAGAGGACGGACAGCUGUUUGACAGUGUCAGGGUGGCCUUGCUUGGGGGUGGGUAGGUAGGGUAUGAGGGGUGAGGCGGGGGUGCAGGGCCACAGGCUGGUGGAUGCAAAUAGGAGGUAGUCUCCAGUGUUUACCAUCCGGUGCGCGAGUUGACACCACUGACUCCUUUCAUCCUCCUUGCCACACUCCUCCUCUUUUUAUGUAAAUGGUCAUGGAAAAUGGCAUUUAUCAUGCGGGGUUUCAGCACACGGGCCCGCCCCAUCCACCAAGCCACCACCAGGGCCAAGAAAACAAAAUGUCCACCACGCCGGUGACAGCUCAAUUUAUGCGCUGAGAGAGAGAGAGUGCUUUUGAAAGAGCUUGCGUGCGCACACACACACACACACACACAUACGCACACACAUACGCACACACAUACACACACGCACACACACACGCACAAACACACACACUCACAUACACACAUGCUCACACCGGAUAAACAAUUACCACCAGCUAAAAUUGACUAUAACUGGGUUUUCCAUGUAUCCGCAUGCAUGUUAUGAAUAUGUAUCACAUGCCAUGUGUGAUGGCGUAUUCUAAACUCUAACACCCAUGGAAAUCCAAUUGCCCACCUAAUAGGAUCUACUUGACUUAUGAAAGCAUAUCUUCAGACAUGUCAAAUCUUAUACAUAUACAUGAGCACAAGGGGUUUCUCUUCCAUUUUUUUCUUCUUUUUGCUCCUUGUCCCAGGAAAUGACUUGCCUCAUAUUUAUGUAUUUUCCUCUCAGUGUUGAAGCAUUAAGCCAGACUUUUUUUGAAAUCAUUAUUAUUAUUAUUAUUUUGUUUGUCUCAAGACUUGGAUGGAAAAAAGGUCCAUGCAUUAAUGAGGAGGUUGGAAGAAAGGGGGGCGAGUGAGUGAGAGAGAGAGAGAGAGAGAGAGAGGGAGAGUGAGAGAGAGGAAGGGUGCUAAAUCUCCAGACAAUCUAAUUUACUCUUAAUCAUCUUUAAACGUAUUCAAACGAGCUGCCUCCAUUUCAGGGCGAUUCUGCGCUCCCUCGUUUGAUGGGCUUGUAAUUAUGGAGCGGUUGUGUGCUGUGCUGGGCCUUGCUGAAAAGGAGCUGGAGGGUAAAAAGGGAGGGGGAAGAGGGGGUUGGGGGUCGGGUGACAGAGGUGCUGGCCUCACCACUAGGGGACUCAUACAAUUGGAAAGAAUGGCCCGCACAAUAUGUCUCUUUGGCUGCAGCACACUUAUUAGCAUAGUUGUUAUUUAUUUACCUCAUGCAAAAAAAAAAAGAGAAAAAAAUUGAGGCUAUUUUAUUUUAAGAAUGAAUUUAAAUGUAUCUUUAAAUCAAGAUCGAGAUUGCUCACUAUUGCCUUACUGACAUGAAUACCUCAUAUAAUGCAUUUGCCAAACAUGAGUGGAUUGUAAAUGUUUCUGACUGCAUAGAUGUUUAAACACACCUAUACAAAAUGAAAAAAAGAGAUUUGUAUCAAUGAUUGUUCAAAUGAAAAAAAAAUUAAAAAACAAAGACAAACGUUUCCACACUAAACAAUUAAGCGAGUGAAUAGGAUAAUACUCUAGACCUGAAAUUAUUUUAAAGUACACUAUAUGAAAACUGAUUAAUUUCAUUGAUUUGAAGAUUAUUUAGAUAGCUUCUAUUUUUUGGGUGUUUUGAUUCACAAUGAUUUUUUACAACAUAUAUAUUUUAAAAUCAUUUAGAUUGACAUUUCUUUGAUGUUCCUUUUAGAUGUCAGAAAUUAUUAUGACAAUCAUUAUCUUAUGACUAAUUUGUAGUUAUUUCAACACACAUGAAAUGAAAAGCUUGCUGAUUAUGUUUUAUUUCAUAACUUAUAACAUUUAAGAGGGUUUUGAUUCAUGUUCUGUUUUGUAAAUUUUACUUGAUGUUAAUUAAUUUUGUUUGGAAAAAUAAAGUCCCAUCUUUUUGAAA